UACGUAGGUGGCAAGCGUUGUCCGGAUUUACUGGGCGUAAAGGGCGUGCAGGCGGUCUGUUAAGUUCAGGGUGAAAGCUCCCGGCUCAACUGGGAGAGGUCCUUGGAUACUGGCAGACUUGAGGGAGGUAGAGGAGAGUGGAAUUCCCGGUGUAGUGGUGAUAUGCGUAGAUAUCGGGAGGAACACCAGUGGCGAAGGCGGCUCUCUGGGCCUUACCUGACGCUGAGGAGCGAAAGCGUGGGGAGCGAACAGG
rnacentral:rRNA from 1 species